rnacentral:lncRNA from 1 species
GCAUAAUUUCCAUGACACCAAGCUGAUUCACAGGCAGUUUUCUUUCUGCACAACAACACGGCUGAAGGACGGCUUGGUGGAGGCAGACUCCGUUUCCUAAGGGCUUAUCCCAAGUUAGAGUUCAGAGGGAAGGGAAUAGAACGCGACUUGUCCACCAAACAAAAUCUUCAGAGUUCUGCAGAUGGCUUUGUUUCCAAGUUCUUUCUCAGACUUGUGAAUGCAGAGACAUUUAAACCAUCCAUGUUGUAGCCAUGAGCAAGGACGACUGUGUGUCAACUCCGUGGGUGUUAUCAGCUGUCCUUUGAAGAAACCAGCUCCAUAGAUGAGCCAAGCACUCAUUUGUAUUGUGUGUGUGUGUGUUAAUGAGCAGACUCCCUUUUGAAGAGAAAAACAAUUGCAUUUCAAGAGAAA